UGAAACGGAUUCCAUCCACUUUUGUUAUCUAGGUCAAUUUAUCGCGUUGACUCGUCAAUAUCUCGCCAAAAUAUCAUAUAAGGAGAUCUCAUGGAUGUGGUAAGAUUAAUGAAAUGUCCUUCCAUACUUGUGUCAGUAGCAUAGUAUAUUUCGUCCAUGUGAGCUUCUGCAGCGUCUAUCUGAGAUGUGAAAAUCUCGGUGAUUUCUAACAUCUAUGAUUUCCAAUAUACAACAUCAUUUCCCUAUCAAGUAAAACACACUAAAACAAAAUCCCUUCUCUUCGUCUAUUCCAUCUCUGUUCUUCACCGGCCGUUUCUUUUUCUGGUAGGGAUAAUUUUAUAAACAACGAAGAAAUCGUAGAAGCAACAUCACUGUGUCAAUCGCAUCACCAGGAAUUAUGGGUUUGUUUUGAAUUCUUGUGUGAUCGCGGGGAAGGAGAUGAGACCGGGGUUAGAAUUAACACAUCAAUCCAUAUUUACUAAUAUCAAAUCUUGCACAAAACAUGUUCGAGGAAAUACCUGAGUUAUUGUUGCUGUGCUAAUAUCUUCUGAUUGAAAGUGAAACUUGGGUUUUUGUUAGUGUUGUGAAUAAGGGAUUCAAAGUGAUUGCCUGCUGUUAUUGUCAUUCUGCAGAUGCUGAGUUGUUAAUGUUCCAUCGGCGUUUGCCAAAUGAGUGAUGGUGGCAGCUGUUAGUAUGGGGAUAUUGUGGGUUUGAGAAGGAUUAGUGGGCAGUAGAUGAAGUUGAUGAAAGGGGAUAGAGAGGAGUUCUGAAAAAAGUAGCAAAUGGGUUCAGGAAGAUGUGAUUGGUAUUUAAUUUGGAGUUGCAUGUGGAUAUGGAAUUGGUAGACCAGAGAUGAUGGUUGAAUUGGAAGCUGAGAUGAGGAUGGUGUUGGGGAUGAUCAAGGGUUAUGAAGAAUACAUCAAGAACAAUUGGGAGCUAUGAACUUGUUGGUUUUUUGUUGUUGCAGUGGUAUUCUUUUGAUGAAAAGAAUGUAAGCUAUUGAUUUUGCAGUUGCGCAGCGAAGGCUUGAAGACAAUGGUAUUGUUUUGAUGAAAAGACUGUAAGCUAUUGGGAAUGUGCUUUGUGGUUGUUUCUGCGGAUAGAAGUUUGAUUAAACUUUAGUGCCUAACAAGUUACAACAAUGUCACUACUAAACUCACAGAUGCUUACUUUUCUCAACAAAAGUAUGUGUCUGCGAAUUCGAAACAAUCAUAUUACCAUCAUUUAUAGCCGGUGAGUUAGUAUUACUCAGAUUACCAUCAACUGUUUACUGUAACUUUAAGAGAAUGCAUCCAACACUUGAAAUUCCUUUAAUCGAUUACAACUUGGCGGUGCUUAUACAACAGAUGCUCAUGUUGGGAAUCAGUAUCGAUGUCCGUCGAGGGGGAAUCCUUGCGGUUUGGAUAGUCACAGUUCUUUUAAAUGUUCUUUUUAGUGGUAAAAAAGUGUAUCGAAUUGGAUUUCUCUCGUCUCCAAGUAUGCAUUAUUGGAUGACAUUUACUAGUGAUGGGGAAUUUGUAUUAUUCAAAUUUUGUGUCUGCACCUGAGUUAAAUAAGUGACACAGACCUGAACCAGCGAUUCAAAGGACUAUCUUGUCAUUUUAAGUGCACUUAACUGGGCUAACUUUCCAUCCAUCACUUUGGGUCAAAACUUGCCUAGUUUUGCAAUAAAUAAAAAAACAUGCCUAGUUUUGAAAAGCACAAAAAAAAACAGGCCUAUUUUUGUAAAAAGCCCAACCUAAAAUUGAGAGAAAUGUCUUCUCAAUCAUUUUUGUGCGGCUGUGUUUUCUGAGUGUCUGAAAGUUAGAGAAAAUCACAGAAAGAAGAUGAAGAUUUGCAGGGUUAAGGUGAAGAUUCUAGGAUGAAAUUGAUGAAUCAGAACGAGAAGAGAUGUUACUAAGCUUGAGAAUGAGAAUAGUUGGAGUUGAGAUCAGUGGGGCUAAAUCAGACAUAGAUUGGAAAUCGGGGUUUUAUAAGACCUGAGUUUGGUAACUAAAUGAAGAAUCCACGAAGUUUCAGAUAAUAGAUGGAUGGGUACUCAAGGAAUUGGGAGAAACAGUAGUGAUGUUGGUUGAAUUAAACAACCAAAUGAAGAAAUUAGUCGAUUAUGGUUUGUUGCUCUGGAACUGCUGAUGGUGGAUGUGAACUUGGAGUAUGGAAAAAGAUGAUGAAUCUGUUGAAUUUGUGUGGCCGUGCAGAGAAAUUGCAGAUGAAGUGUUGGUGGUUGUCAAGAAGAUGGUUCAGCGGAUUCAAGUCACUACAGGAACUACAGAUAAUGGGUUGAGGCUUAGUUGGUGUUGAAUGAAACUGAAGUAGGAUGUGCAGUGGUGAUAUUGCAGUUGCAGGUAAGGAGGUGAUGCUCGGAUGGCAAUAGAGAAAGAAUAGGAGAUUCAAGGGUUUUAGGUUGAGAAGAAUGGGGAGAUGCUGCAAUGCUGAGUGCACAUCUGUAGGUACUGUUGCUGCCAGGGAUUUCAUGGGUUAGUGUUGAGACUUUUAAGGAGAACAUGGAAGUCAGGUGGAAUGAAUGGCUUGGCAUGAAUUGAGCUGUUGUUGUUAUGGUUCAAGGGCAGGAGUUGAAGCUGCAGUAAGGCACUGGUGGGAUCUGAACUGAGAGAAGAAAAGUUAAGAGAAGAGAAUAAGUUGCAGUGAACUGAACUGCAAAUGAUGCUAGUGUAUGGAUUGAGUCUGUGUAGUGCAGUAUUUCACGUCAAGAGUUUGUGUUGCUGCAAUGUAAAAAAUGGCCUGAACUGGGUUUCGCGGCUGCAAGGAGUUAACUGGAGCUGUAAGAAUAUGAAUUGCAGGUGAUGCUUGUCAUGGCUAUAUGUUACUGGUGGUAUUGAGGUUCAGAUGGGAUUUGAACUGAGUUUGUUGGUGGUAGCCUUGAGCUGAGAAUAAGAGAAGAAAUGGCAUCGCAGGUGCAGUUGUUGGUGAGCUACAGAAUUGGAGCUACAACCAAUGGAUGGAAGGAAUGAUGUGGCCAUAUGAAGAGAAAGUGCGGAGAGACAAUGGGUUAUGUUUUGUUGGUGCCUGGAGUUUGUGGGAACGAUCCUUUCUUACCCUUUCUAUAUUAUUUAUUUUGAGUUGUGAGAAAGUAAUAUUAUUUUUGACGCAUACGACAGCGAUCAACUAAUAUUGAGACUCAGCACGUGACACAAAAGAAUUUCUCAUUACAGUGUUUUCCUUAGUCAAGGAGGAAGAUUGUUUUUCGGCUAGGUGAAUAGAUGCAACAAUAUUCUCUGUUUCCACACGCAGGUUGUUCAAGUCAGAGAAGUGUGUCUCAAUUAAACGUUUUUCUCUAAUUGUUCCUUCUUUAACAAUAUUCUCAAGAGUGCUAAUCUUUUCUUGUUGUAGCAUAUUUUCUUGAGUGAGUCUUUUGAUAUUGUUUGAGAAGGAUUCAAUGAUCUUAUAGAGUUCACGUUCUCGACUAAGAGACUUUUCAAA